AACGAACGCUGGCGGCAUGCCUAACACAUGCAAGUCGAACGAGACCUUCGGGUCUAGUGGCGCACGGGUGCGUAACGCGUGGGAACCUGCCCUUAGGUUCGGAAUAACUCUCCGAAAGGGGUGCUAAUACCGGAUAAUGUCUUCGGACCAAAGAUUUAUCGCCUUUGGAUGGGCCCGCGUUGGAUUAGCUAGUUGGUAGGGUAAAAGCCUACCAAGGCGACGAUCCAUAGCUGGUCUGAGAGAAUGAUCAGCCACACUGGGACGGAGACACGGCCCAGACUCCUACGGGAGGCAGCAGUGCGUAAUAUUGGACAAUGGGCGAAAGGCUGAUCCAGCAAUGCCGCGUGAGUGAUGAAGGCCUUAGGGUUGUAAAGCUCUUUUACCCGUGAUGAUAAUGACAGUACCGGGAGAAUAAGCCCCGGCUAACUCCGUG
rnacentral:rRNA from 1 species